AACGGGCGUCUCUUUGGACCUUUUUCGCUUCGAAACGUCGUCAGUGGGGAAGGAGAAGGACGAGGGCCAAACGUGGUCAUCAGAAUGCGGUCCAUAUGGGCCUCACUCACGACAAAUUAGCCCAGAAAUGAACAGCGUCGCCUCUCCCUACCGCUCGCAAACCGUCGUCUCAUGGCAACUUCUCGUCCGCCUCCUCACCAUUGCUCGAAGCUUGCUCCGAUUGCUUGGAGAUCUAUUCCAGGACCCGACUACGACAUCAUCGAGACAACCUUCUCCGAGCCGCGACCUCGUUGCUGAAAUCGCCAGCGACGGCGACCACCGGAAUCCGUGGAGUCUCGGUUCGGGUUGCAGGCUUUGAUGCCAAGCCAUGUGAUGGGUGUCACUGCCCAUGUGAGGUACUGCACCAUGGGAUGUACCUUGGAAAUUAUUCACCAGGUGGUCACUCCCGGCCUCUCCCUCCUGUCCUGUGCUUGAGGUGGUGAAAGCAGGCGUUUCCUUGGACCAUACCUCUCCGCAGCAAAGUUUCAGCUGCUCUUGAUGUCGACGGAACGGCCACCUUGCAUUGUCAAGACGACUCCGAUACAUGGAGAAAGAGGACAUGAGAAGAAGAUGGAAAGUGCCAAAAGGAAAUGAGAUUCCUUGCAGCUUUUUCUCUUUACUUGACCUUUCACCUGCUGAUCACGACCGCAUGAAUUCUCCCCGUUCCCCACUUGAUAAAUGAGAGUGAUUGUUGCCUACUAAUUUCUUCUUAGAAGCCACCCGGCUCCCAACUAAGCCUGCUCUCGCCAUCACUUCCCUCACCUCUUAGUCAGGGCUCGGUAUGAGAUAGAGACUUCGAGCCCUCGGCGUUGAUUUCCUUUGCAUUGAGUGGAAUCCAUACUGGUGUGCUCCCUAUCUUACAGAGACGAGACCAUUACUGUUGCUGCUAUCUUCCUCGAGCAAAGUUGUCUGAAGCACUCCCAAGUGUACAGGACUCGGCGCUCUCUUUCCACCUCAAGACGCCACCCAUUCAUUAGACUCUUGUUGCUUUUUCUCUCUCUAGAUCUCACUCAUGGCAAGAUGACAUGGUCCCAUUACAAUGA